ensembl:lincRNA
GGCGCGGGCCAGUGUCCGGUGACUAUAGCCACGGCCGGCGGCGGCGGCGCGUCUACGAGUAGGCAAUUGCGUUCCGGUUGAUCUCCGCAUCCGCUGCCAUCAGGGUCUUCAGGCUGCGCCUGUUCCUUCUUCAACCCGGGCGGGAACCUUGGCCGGUUGGACCCAAAAUGACAGGGCUGAUGGUUCCGCAGUUGUUCUGGAAGAUGAUCUGCAUUGGUGAAAUGAUCUGCCUAGCGUGUUUCGUACAAAGAGGGCCAUCUGAGACUUUCUGUCCCCACCUGCACGUGGCUCGGUGAUAGCAUCUGCCUGGUGUCUUCUGCAGCAGCAAUGCUGUGAACCCAGUGCUAGGAGAGACGGAGACCUGGGAUGAUCCUCCUGUGGCUGUGAGGCUGAAGGUGACAGUGUGGGUGCUGAGACCAGUCACCAAGCAAGGAGGGAGCAGGACCUGGGCCUGAACACAGCGGACUGGAAUCACACUUGCUCCAGCUGCAGGAGGAAUCGCAGUUUCGGGGCUGGUGUGAGAGUCCGGGGCCUGCGGUCCCUGUUCGUGAGCCCACAGUCCGGAGGUGCCCUUCUGCAUCUCCUGAAUGAAAGGCUGUUUAAUAAUAAAUAUGACUUGAAAUGUGUGGUUUAUCUCUGUUCUCCAUGCUCCAGGCUUAUCCAUGGGCCCUGGGACCUGGGUGGUCA